CUUCCUUCUCUAUCUGCCUAGAGAACCUCUCUUUCCCUACAAGGCACUAGAAGGUCGACCCCACUUUCCACACUAUGUUGACUUUACUCCUGAGCCCAGUCAUUCCCCGCCACUCUUUCACACAGCAUCGAGGGCUUUUUCAUAAGAAGCAGCACUCUAUUGUCCACUUCGAGUAGUUUGCCACGGGUCAUUUGCCAGCGAUGGAUAAGCUUUCUCGAUUGAAUCAUUCCCGGACAGAAUGAACGGGGAAAAGCGAAGACGCAUGAUGAAC
rnacentral:lncRNA from 1 species